AUUGAACGCUGGCGGCAGGCUUAACACAUGCAAGUCGAGCGGUAACAGAGAGAAGCUUGCUUCUCUGCUGACGAGCGGCGGACGGGUGAGUAAUGCCUAGGAAUCUGCCUAGUAGUGGGGGAUAACUUGCCGAAAGGUAAGCUAAUACCGCAUACGUCCUACGGGAGAAAGGGGGGGACCUUCGGGCCUUUCGCUAUGAGAUGAGCCUAGGUCGGAUUAGUUAGUUGGUGAGGUAAUGGCUAACCAAGACCGCGAUCCGUAACUGGUCUGAGAGGAUGAUCAGUCACACUGGAACUGAGACACGGUCCAGACGCCUACGGGAGGCAGCAGUGGGGAAUAUUGGACAAUGGGGGGAACCCUGAUCCAGCCAUGCCGCGUGUGUGAAGAAGGUCUUAGGAUUGUAAAGCACUUUAAGUUGGGAGGAAGAGCAGUUAACUAAUAUUUGACUGUUUUGACGUUACCGACAGAAUAAGCACCGGCUAACUUCGUGCCAGCAGCCGCCGUAA
rnacentral:rRNA from 1 species